AUGAAGCCUGGCUUGCUGGGUGGAUUAGUGGCGAACGGGUGAGUAACACGUGAGUAACCUGCCCUUGACUCUGGGAUAAGCGCUGGAAACGGCGUCUAAUACCGGAUACGACCUGCCCCGGCAUCGGGUGUGGGUGGAAAGUUUUUCGGUCAAGGAUGGACUCGCGGCCUAUCAGCUUGUUGGUGAGGUAAUGGCUUACCAAGGCGACGACGGGUAGCCGGCCUGAGAGGGUGACCGGCCACACUGGGACUGAGACACGGCCCAGACUCCUACGGGAGGCAGCAGUGGGGAAUAUUGCACAAUGGGCGAAAGCCUGAUGCAGCAACGCCGCGUGGGGGAUGACGGCCUUCGGGUUGUAAACCUCUUUUAGUAGGGAAGAAGGGCUUCGGCUUGACGGUACCUGCAGAAAAAGCACCGGCUAACUACGUGCCAGCAGCCGCGGUAAUACGUAGGGUGCAAGCGUUGUCCGGAAUUAUUGGGCGUAAAGAGCUCGUAGGCGGUUUGUCGCGUCUGCUGUGAAAACCCGAGGCUCAACCUCGGGCCUGCAGUGGGUACGGGCAGACUAGAGUGCGGUAGGGGAGAAUGGAAUUCCUGGUGUAGCGGUGGAAUGCGCAGAUAUCAGGAGGAACACCGAUGGCGAAGGCAGUUCUCUGGGCCGUUACUGACGCUGAGGAGCGAAAGCGUGGGGAGCGAACAGGAUUAGAUACCCUGGUAGUCCACGCCGUAAACGUUGGGAACUAGAUGUGGGGGCCUUUCCACGGUCUCCGUGUCGCAGCUAACGCAUUAAGUUCCCCGCCUGGGGAGUACGGCCGCAAGGCUAAAACUCAAAGGAAUUGACGGGGGCCCGCACAAGCGGCGGAGCAUGCGGAUUAAUUCGAUGCAACGCGAAGAACCUUACCAAGGCUUGACAUAUACCGGAAACUUCCAGAGAUGGUUGCCCCGCAAGGUCGGUAUACAGGUGGUGCAUGGUUGUCGUCAGCUCGUGUCGUGAGAUGUUGGGUUAAGUCCCGCAACGAGCGCAACCCUCGUUCUAUGUUGCCAGCACGUGAUGGUGGGAACUCAUAGGAGACUGCCGGGGUCAACUCGGAGGAAGGUGGGGAUGACGUCAAAUCAUCAUGCCCCUUAUGUCUUGGGCUUCACGCAUGCUACAAUGGCCGGUACAAAGGGCUGCGAUACCGUAAGGUGGAGCGAAUCCCAAAAAGCCGGUCUCAGUUCGGAUUGAGGUCUGCAACUCGACCUCAUGAAGUCGGAGUCGCUAGUAAUCGCAGAUCAGCAACGCUGCGGUGAAUACGUUCCCGGGCCUUGUACACACCGCCCGUCAAGUCAUGAAAGUCGGUAACACCCGAAGCCAGUGGCCUAACCGUAAGGAGGG
rnacentral:rRNA from 1 species